rnacentral:rRNA from 1 species
CCUACGGGAGGCAGCAGUAGGGAAUAUUGCUCAAUGGGGGAAAGCCUGAAGCAGCAACGCCGCGUGGAGGAUGAAGGUUUUAGGAUUGUAAACUCCUUUUGUUAGAGAAGAUUAUGACGGUAUCUAACGAAUAAGCACCGGCUAACUCCGUGCCAGCAGCCGCGGUAAUACGGAGGGUGCAAGCGUUACUCGGAGUUACUGGGCGUAAAGAGUGCGUAGGCGGGGUAAUAAGUCAGAUGUGAAAUCCUGUAGCUUAACUACAGAACUGCAUUUGAAACUGUUACUCUGGAGUGUGGGAGAGGUAGGUGGAAUGCUUGGUGUAGGGGUAAAAUGCGUAGAGAUCAAGAGGAAUACUGAUUGCGAAGGCGACCUGCUGGAACAUUACUGACGCUGAUGCACGAAAGCGUGGGGAGCAAACAGGAUUAGAUACCCUAGUAGUC